CCUACGGGAGGCAGCAGUGGGGAAUAUUGGACAAUGGGGGAAACCCUGAUCCAGCCAUGCCGCGUGUGUGAAGAAGGCCUUUUGGUUGUAAAGCACUUUAAGCAGUGAAGAAGACUCUUCGGUUAAUACCCAUAGACGAUGACAUUAGCUGCAGAAUAAGCACCGGCUAACUCUGUGCCAGCAGCCGCGGUAAU
rnacentral:rRNA from 1 species